GGCCCGUUCGUCUAAUGGUUAGGACAGUGGCUUUUCAAGCCAUUAACAGGGGUUCGAUUCCCCUACGGGCUACCA
rnacentral:tRNA from 1 species